AGUGAACGCUGGCGGUAGGCCUAACACAUGCAAGUCGAACGGCAGCACAGUAAGAGCUUGCUCUUACGGGUGGCGAGUGGCGGACGGGUGAGGAAUACAUCGGAAUCUACUUUUUCGUGGGGGAUAACGUAGGGAAACUUACGCUAAUACCGCAUACGACCUACGGGUGAAAGCAGGGGAUCUUCGGUCCUUGCGCGAUUGAAUGAGCCGAUGUCGGAUUAGCUAGUUGGCGGGGUAAAGGCCCACCAAGGCGACGAUCCGUAGCUGGUCUGAGAGGAUGAUCAGCCGCACUGGAACUGAGACACGGUCCAGACUCCUACGGGAGGCAGCAGUGGGGAAUAUUGGACAAUGGGCGCAAGCCUGAUCCAGCCAUACCGCGUGGGUGAAGAAGGCCUUCGGGUUGUAAAGCCCUUUUGUUGGGAAAGAAAAGCAGCAGGUUAAUACCCCGCUGUUCUGACGGUACCCAAAGAAUAAGCACCGGCUAACUUCGUG
rnacentral:rRNA from 1 species